UUCAAAACAUUGAAAUAAUGAAAUGACCAGCCCAGUCACCUGAUCUUAAACCAAAAGAAAACCUUAUUGCCAAGAAACCCACUAACUACUGUAUAGUCACUGAACUGUGGAAGUAACUGGAAGAAGAGUGGACCAAAAUCACUCCAGAGCAGUGUGAGAGACUAGUUUGCUGGUCAUUCAAAGUCUCUGUGAGCUAUGGCUGGCUUUCCCUGUGUGCCGAAGAUCUCUACGUGCAGGUGCGCCAGGCCGCUGGCGAUGGACAGCGCCAUCCUCAGGCAGGCCGGGGCAUCCAGCGUGCUGAGCUGCAGAUAAUCAUACAGGGAACCCAUCUCGUGAUAAUGUGUGAUCAGCCACAGCUGAGUGCUAGAGUUACGAGACGUCAUGUCGGAUGCAAUAAAGCCUGUAAGAAGACGAAAAGAAAUAAAACCUUGUAUUAAUCUUA